rnacentral:lncRNA from 1 species
CCUGGACUUCCCUGGAGCAGGACACGGGAUUGGGGUGGGGGUGGGAGGAUCUGGGCACACGUGUGCAGCAGCCUCGGCCCACACAGCCUCCGGGUGGACCUGCAGGGGCCUGUUUGUGCUGUAGGCUUGACACGUCCAGACUCCCAUUCCUGCAGGAGGAACCAGGCAGGAGGCAGCUAGCUGGUGAUAGCGCGCGUGACCACAGACCUCUGACCCUCAUAGUCUCAGCAGCUGUCUGCAGGCCCUCCACGGGACCGCAGCCUGGGAGGGCAGGAGGCCCUGCACCUGCGGCCGGUCUGACCUGCUCCUCACCUCCCUGCCUGCCUCCUCCGUGCUGGGCGCCGCCGCGACACGUCCCGCGGACAUUCAGGAGUCCCUUCAGUCCCUGCGAGCGCGGACCCGGGAGAGAGCUCUCAUUCAACGCUGAGGCCACUGGCUCACAGAUCUCCCCGGGUCACCCUGCGAAGUGCUUGGUCCCCCCCAUUCCCAGCCCUGCAGCAGCAACAAACGGGAAGGAAGUGGGUGACGAGGACAGGCAGAGACCCCUCCCACGGGGCCGCCCGCAUCUCACCUGCCGUCGCGGGGCGGGCGUUGCGGCCGGUGCCCAGCUGCAGAUCCGCAGGCGAUCGCACUCCUGGCGGCCCCAGCUUUAAGCAGGCAGCGGCCGAUCCGCCCUGCUCGAGGGCUCAGGGCUGACCCAGAUGGAGUCUCACUCACUCUGUCACCCAAGCUGGAGCGCAGUGGUGUGAUCUUCAGCUCGUCCCAACCUCCGUCUCCCAGGUUCAAGCGAUUCUCCUGACCUCAAGUGAUCCGUCUGCCUUGGCAUCCCAAAGUGCUGGGAUUACAGGCCUGAGGCCAGGCCCUGAAUUAAUUUUUUGAUGUUUCACUUUGCCAGGUGUAUAAGUAACAUGUUAGUUGUGAUUGUAACUAAAUAAAGGCUUAAGGGAAACCGUG